GCCAAAAAAUCUCCAAGGAUCACAACUGGAGCAUUGCAAAUAUUAGUUGCGUCUUGGGGUCAAAAAGUCUCCAAAACUACAAUACGAAGUAACCACAUUACCACAAGUUGUUUGGAAGGGUUUCAAGAAAAAAAACCUCUACUCUCAUCCAAAAACAAACUCAAGCAUCUCCAGUUUGCUAGACACCUCUGGAACUUCAAAUGGGACCAGUUUGGUCAGAUGAAACCAAAAUAGAGCAUUAUGACAAUAAACAUUAGAGGUAGGUUUGGGGCACACAGAGAGGUAGCCAUAUGGAGAAUGACCUCAUGCCCAUGGUUAAAUAUGGUGGUGGCUCUUUAAGGUUUUGGGGCUGUUUGUCGGCCAGACAACUGGGACAUUUUGUUAGGAUACAUGGCAUCAUGGAAUCAAAUAUUAACAGAUAAUAAAUAAAAACAUGACUGCCUCUGCCAGAAAGUAUCAAAUGGGCCGUUAUUUUCUUAACAGGUCAAUGAUCCAAAACAUACAUCAAGAUCAACACAAAAAUUAUUUAAUGACCACAAAAUCAAGUUUCUGCCUUGGCCAUCCCAGUCCCCUGACUUGAACCCCAUAGAAUACCUGUGGGGUGAACUGUAAAGAAGAGUCCACAAGCACCAAAGAUCUGGAGAGAUUCUGUAUGGAGGAAUGGUCUCAGAUCUCUUGCCAUGUAUUAUCCAGCCUUUAUUAGGCAUUAGAGGAGAAGACUCAAAACUAUUACCGGUAUCUUGGCAAAGGGAGGUAGCACAAAG